UACGUAGGGGGCAAGCGUUGUCCGGAAUUAUUGGGCGUAAAGGGCGCGUAGGCGGUUAUUUAAGUCUGAUGUGAAAGUGCGGGGCUUAACUCCGUAAAGCAUUGGAAACUGGGUAACUUGAGGACAGGAGAGGAAAGUGGAAUUCCACGUGUAGCGGUGAAAUGCGUAGAUAUGUGGAGGAACACCAGUGGCGAAGGCGACUUUCUGGACUGUAACUGACGCUGAGGCGCGAAAGCGUGGGGAUCAAACAGGAUUAGAUACCCGCGUAGUCCCUGAGCGGG
rnacentral:rRNA from 1 species